AGAAGGCGAUUGGGCCGGAUCCGGCCCCCGGGCCUUAGUUUGCCUACCAAUGCCCUAGGUCAGGUACGUCCAACGGGUAGAUUGCGAUCUACUGGUAGAUUGCAGGGUGUGCCUGGUAGAUCUCUGCCCCCUCAGUGAUCUACUCCCCCCUGAAAAAACGUUCAAUAACUUUGGCUUCCCCAAAAAAGCUCAACAAUGUUGGCUUCCUAAAAAAAGCUCUACAACUUUGACUUUCCAAAGAGAAGUUCACCAACUCUGGAUUCCUUAAAAAAAAAGCUCAGCCACCUUUGUUUCCUAGCCAAAAAAGGGGCCAUCAGAUUAAGUCCCACUAUAUAGAACUGAGGAUUCAGGACCCUCAACUGUGUUUUAUAUAAUCAACUUUUGAUUAUGUUCUGUGUAUCUCACAAUGCUCAUUCAGUUCCAUUCAUUCAUUUGCUCCCUAAAAAAAAAAAAGCUCAACCAACUUGGCUUCCCCAAAAAAGCUCCAUACUUUUGAUCCAUCCAACAACAACGGGUGGAUCACUGCCAGUAUUUUUUUACACUGUGAGUAGAUCACAGUCUCUUGGGAAUUGGACAUCCCUGCCCUAGGGAUGCCAUAGUAUGUCAAUAUGCAGAUCUGAUCAGCAUCACAAGGUCCGGCCCAGACACUUCUCCAGAAAACCUGGCCUUUCCAGAUUAACAAACGAAACCCUGGAUGCGCAUGAAGGAACAAAACGCAAACGUUUGUGACACGCAAUUUCCUCCACCCAUUCUUACUUGGUACUUGUACCUGUUAUCACACCCAAGGUCACUUCCGAUGAAGUGUCUCACGGGGAAUUAAGGCGAGGGGGGUUAUGGAAAGCCACGUGUGCUUGGUUCAAUACUGUACAAAAAGUAAGAAACGUCUCCUGUUUUGGGUCUUCUUUCCUCCUUGGCGAGACUGGCUUUGACCCUGCUGCUGCAAAAAUCUCAAAUAAAGGUCCAGCAUCUGUGCUGCUUUGAUUCAG